rnacentral:rRNA from 1 species
AGACGUCUACAUUAGAUACCCGUGUAGUCCCAGCCGUAAACUAUGCGCGUUAGGUGUAUCGGUGACCACGUGUUACCGAGGUGCCGAAGGGAAACCGUGAAACGUGCCGCCUGGGAAGUACGGUCGCAAGGCUGAAACUUAAAGGAAUUGGCGGGGAGCACCACAACAGGUGGAGCCUGCGGUUUAAUUGGACUCAACGCCGGGAAGCUCACCGGAUAGGACAGCAGAAUGAUUGCCGGGCUGAAGACCCUGCAUGACUAGCUG